ACACUCAUCAAAUGGAUAACACACGUUGCCAGAUAAUUUAAAAUUAUGAGUGAAAGCCACUAAGGGAAAAAAGAAAGAUCGUGUGCUUGGAAUAAGAGCAAGUGAUCCAAUGCCACUACCAUCAAAUCCUAAUAUGACGACUUUACAGAACACAAGUUCAAAUAUUUUAGAAAUUCAACGAGAAAAAAACAAAGAAGCGUUUGAUCUAGCAAUGCAAGAAGCCAUUCAACAAAUGCCAGAUAUAGUUAAGGAAGUAAGGGAAGGUCUACGUCAAAAUACGGUUGAGAUAAUUAGCAUUUACAUAUAUAUGUAUUUCAAAUAUCAUUCAUAUUUUCUUUGUAAUCUCAAUAUCAUUU
rnacentral:lncRNA from 1 species